rnacentral:lncRNA from 1 species
UGGUUUAACGAUCCUUUUGACCUUCGAAUUGGUAGCUAGAGGUGUCAGAAAAGUUACCAUAGGGAUAACAGGCUUGUGGCAACAAAGUGUUCAUAGCGACGUUGCUUUUUUAUCCUUCGAUGUACGCUCUUAAAAUCAUUGUGAAGCAGAAUUCACCAAGUGUUGGAUUGUUCACCCACCAAUAGGGAACGUGAGCUGGGUUUAGACCGUCAUGAGACAGGUAAGUUUUACCCUACUGAUGACAGUGUCGCAAUAGUAAUUCAGCCUAGUACGAGAGGAACCGUUGAUUCGCACAAUUGGUUGAAAAGCCAGUGGCGCAAAGCUACUGUGCGCUGGAUUAUGACUGAACGCCUCUAAGUAAGAAUCCGGGCUAGAAGCAACGCAUGCGCCCGCCGUCCGCUUGCCGACCCGCAGUAGGGGCCUUUGGCCCCCAAGGACACGUGUCGUUGGCUAUGUCAUCGCGGCGGAAGAGCCGCGGUGGCCGCCUUGAAGUACAAUUUCCAUCGAGCAGAGGGUAGAAUCCUUUCCAGACGACUUAAAUACGUGACGGGGUAUUGUAAGUGGCAGAGUGGUCUUGCUGCCACGAUCCACUGAGAUUUAGCCCUUUGUCUCUCUGAUUCGUCCCUCCCCCUCCAAUCAAAUCAUUUUCUAAGUUUUCUGAUAAGAGGUUCACUCCUACCUUGAUGUUAUAUUAUACAAAGUGUUGGAAAAAACAAACAAGUCCUCAAGACCUUGGAAUGUUUACUAUUUGUACAUUAACUGGACAAUGUGACUUGACACUUAGUAACGUCGAGGGAAAUACCAAACCAAAUUACACUACUAGAGGCUUUUCGAGGUUCGCUUGAGAGGUCGAGGCCUAUGCCAAGGUCUUUCGUGGUGUCGCUUGAGAGGUCAAGGCCUAUGCCCCGUGCGCAAGGCGUGGCCAUGGCAUGAGUUAGGAUGUCCCAGGACAUGGUAGGGCGUGGCUAUGACACGGGCCAGGACGUGUCACUACGUUAAAGAACAUGACAAGACAUGGGCAUGAUGUGUCAUGACGUCGCAGGACAUGGUUGGGUGUGGCCAUGGCACGAUUCAGGACAUGGCAGGACAUGGCAGGGCGUGGCCAUGGCAUGAGUCAGGACGUCGCAGGACGCGUGGACGUUGUAGGACGAGUCAGGACAUAGCCAUGGCACGUGUCAGGACGCGGCAGGAUAUGGCAGUGGCACGUGACAGGAUGCGUCAGGACAUGGCAGGGCGUGGCCAUAGCAUAACUCAUGAAGUCGCAGGACAUGGAAGGGCGUGGCCAUGGAACGAGUCGGGACAUCGCAGGACGCGUUACGACAUGGCCAUAGUACGUGUCAGGACGCGUCAGGACAUGGCCAUGGCACGUGUCAGGACGCGUCAGGACAUUGCAGGGCGUGGCCAUGGCACGAGUCGGGACGUCACAGGACAUGGCAGGGCGUGGCCAUGGCACGAGUCAGGACGUCGCAGACGCGUCAUAACAUGGCCAUGGCACGUGUCAGGACAUGGAAGAGCGUCGCCAUGGCACGAGUGAGGACGUCAUAGGACAUGGCAGGAUAUGGCCAUGGUACGUGUUAGGACGUGUCAGGACAUGGCCAUGGCACGACAUCGCACCAAGCGGCACCACGUCGCUCGAAGCCUCACCAUUUCGCACCACGUCUAUUGCUAGCCAAUGCUUAGAAACAUGUCAAGCGCAAUGAUGUUGGUGAUCGGGGACAUGGCCAUGGCACGUGUCAGGACCAUCAGGACAUCACAGUGGCACGUGUUUAGACACGACAGGGUGUGGCCAUGGCAUGACUCAUGACGCCGCAGGACAUGGCACGACUCAAGACGUCAAAGGACGCGUCAGGACAUGGCCAUGGCACGUGUCAGGACGCGUCAGGAUAUGGCAGUGGCACGUNNNNNNNNNNNNNNNNNNNNNNNNNNNNNNNNNNNNNNNNNNNNNNNNNNNNNNNNNNNNNNNNNNNNNNNNNNNNNNNNNNNNNNNNNNNNNNNNNNNNNNNNNNNNNNNNNNNNNNNNNNNNNNNNNNNNNNNNNNNNNNNNNNNNNNNNNNNNNNNNNNNNNNNNNNNNNNNNNNNNNNNNNNNNNNNNNNNNNNNNNNNNNNNNNNNNNNNNNNNNNNNNNNNNNNNNNNGACGCGUCAGGACAUUGCAGGGCGUGGCCAUGGCACGAGUCGGGACGUCACAGGACAUGGCAGGGCGUGGCCAUGGCACGAGUCAGGACGUCGCAGACGCGUCAUAACAUGGCCAUGGCACGUGUCAGGACAUGGAAGAGCGUCGCCAUGGCACGAGUGAGGACGUCAUAGGACAUGGCAGGAUAUGGCCAUGGUACGUGUUAGGACGUGUCAGGACAUGGCCAUGGCACGACAUCGCACCAAGCGGCACCACGUCGCUCGAAGCCUCACCAUUUCGCACCACGUCUAUUGCUAGCCAAUGCUUAGAAACAUGUCAAGCGCAAUGAUGUUGGUGAUCGUUGGCGGCGGCUGUGGAAAGUCGAGGUGGUUCGAGCGGUAGCGUUCGGCGACGGUCAGUCGACGCUUGGUGGUUGCCGGCGGUUGCUUCAAAUCCUAAUCAGUUGUUGUGGUUGGGCAACAUGUCAAGCGCAAUGAUGUUGUUUGUCGUUGUUGGCGGUGGUGGAAAGUCGCGGUGGUUCGAGCGGUAUCCACCGGCGACGGUUGGUCGACGCUUUGUUGUUGGCGGCAGUUUUUCUAAAUCGGAAUCCCAUAUUGUGGUUGCGACUAUAGAGGUGCCUCGUGGUUAUUGGCGGUUGGUCAUCUAUGUGCUUUUAUAAUAAUAUUAUGUAUUUUUCCUUUUUUAAAAUAUAUUUUUUAGUAAUAUUUAUGCAAUUUUUGUUAUUUUAAAUUAUUUUUAUGUCACUUUUCAAUAAAAAUAUUUAUUCUUUUAUAUGUAACACUAUUACAAGAUGUAUUGGAAUUUUUCUCCAUCAUUUUUUCUAUUUUUAUAAUAAUUUUCAUAUUUUUAGUAUUUUAUUAAUUAUUUUUCGUUUUGGAAUAUAAUAUUUCAAAAAAAUAUUAAUUAUUAGUAAAAAAUAUAUUUUUUCUAUUUUUAUAAUAAUUUUCAUAUUUUUAGUAUUUUAUUAAGUAUUUUUCGUUUUUAAAUAAAAAUAUUUCAAAAAAAAUAUUUUUUUUGUAAAAAAUACCAUUUACAAUGUUUAAAAGUCAUUUGUAAAUAUAUUAGCCAAGUUGUACUUCUGUUUGUGCUAUGUGGUGUUGUACAUAUCUAUUAUGAUUCUCUGGCCAAAAAAUGACUACUCCUGAAACUAGGGUUUUUUUUACAAGCAUAUAUAAGGGGGGUAGAGGUGUUGAGACGCACCUCAGGUGCUUGCUGCAAGGAAGGGACGGGCAUGCAUGGGUGACGCUGGCAUGGGGCGUGGGCAUUGGGGGCAUGCACGGCUUGUCCGUGCUACGUCCACGAUAUUCCCAAACUGCGCAGGCAAUUACUCGUGUCGGCUUUUAGUACACCAGGUGGUGGCACCGCUCGUGGCAAACAUUGGCUUUUGGCAACGAAUAUCGGAGCGUCAUGCAAGUAGCGCCGCAAGGUGUCGUGCGCAUGGGGCAAAACACAGUACUUGUUGAUCGCCAUUGGAUGUUGCAGGCAAAAUCUUGAGGCGACAUCGCUCGUGGCGGCUGAUGGCAUUUGAAAACUGAACAGCAAAGCGUCGUGCAAGUAGCACCGCGAGGUGUUAUGCGCAUGGGGCGAAGCGUAGUAAGUUGUUUAUUGCCAUUGGUUGUUGUGGGUUGUGUCUGGAAUCUCUUGUGGCGGAUGAUGGCAUUCGACAACGAACGACGGAGAGUCGUGCAAGUAGCGCCGCAAGGUGCCGUGCACAUGGGACGAAGCUCAGUAGAUGUCGAUUGCCAUCGGUUGUUGCGGGCAACUUCUUUUCUGGCGGUUGAUGGCUUUCGGCAAUGGAACGGCGGAGCGUCGUGCAAGUAGCAGCGCAAGGUGCCGUGCGCAUGGGGUGAAGCUUAGUAAAUUGCCUAUUGCCAUCGAUUGUUGUGGGUUGUGUCUGGCAUUGUUCAAACCCCCUAUUCGUGCUUUGCGAGCCUUGUCUUGGCUUUGCAAUGUUGGCAUCGGCAAAAACACAUGGCUGUGCGUCACGUGUUGGAGCUGGUGUUGGCUUUGUUUCGGCGAGGCAAGUGUACGUGCGGCACAUGAGUGGUGUUCUUGUGUGGCUAGGUUGGAUCCCAGCUCGAGCAGCGACGUCCUACUCGGAUGCCUUCUCAUUCAUGUCACAAGUGCAAAUUAGGCUUGUUCGAUGUCGGUUUUCUGUGUUGCAUACAUAAUGCCAAGGCAUUAUCAAGCAUAAUUGGUCGCCUUUCGCCCCUCGCGUUCGACGUGUGGGGAGAACCAAAAGAUGCAUUUGUGUCCCAGGUUGUCUAGGAUUCGCCUUGCGAUGUCUUUGUCCAUGACUUAGCAUGCUCGGGCUCUCGAAUUUGGUAAACGCAAUGGGCACGGGGCCUUCAUUGGCUCCUUUUACCCCUAGAAUGCCCCUUACGAAUGAUGGUCAUGCUCGCCUUGGACUUGGUCGUGCCCUUUGCGGUCGGCCACGCUUAUGCGACGCCGGCUUCAAUGAGGAAUGCUACCUGGUUGAUCCUGCCAGUAGUCAUAUUCUUGUCUCAAAGAUUAAGCCAUGCAUGUGUAAGUAUUAACAAAUUAGGACUGUGAAACUCCGAAUAGCUCAUUAAAUCAGUUAUAGUUUGCUUGAUAGUAUCUACUACUCAGAUAACCGUAGUAAUUCUAGAGCUAAUACGUGCAAUAAACCCUGACUUCUGGAAGGGAUGCAUUUAUUACAUAAAAUGUCGACGCGAGCUCUGCCCGUUGAUGUGAUGAUUCAUGAUUACUCGACAGAUCCCACGGUCACCGAGUUGGAGACGCAUCAUUCAAAUUUCUUCCCUAUCAACUUUCGAUGGUAGGAUAAUGGCCUACGGUUAGGACCCUGCUUUUUGUCAUCGAGCGUGGCACGUCUGUGGCAAGGAUUUGGGCUUGAUGGCCCUGUCACUGGUUUUUGUGCGGCCAAAAUAAUCAUGCGGGUCGACGGGAUGUGGUGGACAAGUAUUGGCCAAGGCCUUGGCAUGGGCAAGGCGCGCUCGGAAAAGGCUUGAAGAGGCAGCAUUGUCAAUGUUUGGGAGGCAUGGCACGGCAUGCACGCCAAAAUCAGUGGCAUGACACUCUUGGGUUGUGGAAUCUAUGUGCGGGCUAAGCUAAGGCGAGGCGGAAAUGCGGGUUGAUGGCAAAGGCUUUCAAUAGCUAAGACAAGGCUAUGGGAAGGUAAAUACAAGCGAUGGCACGAGGAAAUUGAGGGUUGGAACGGACAAGGUAGAAAACUAGGCCAAGGCGGUGUGCGGGCGACAGCGGCGCCAUGGGUGUGCGGAAAAAUCAUGCAGCGGAUUGCAGGAAAGAAAGAAAAUACAAGCAAUGGCACGUGGAAAAUGAGGAUUGGCACGGACAAGGUAGAAAACAAGGCCAGGUAGUGUGCAGGCGGCAGCGGCGCCGGGAGUGUACGGAAAUAUCAUGGCAGCGGAUUGCGGGCGAUACAUUGGCAUCGGCAAUGUCAUGUUGAGCUAAGGCAUGACACAAGGCAGCCUUAGGGUCGAAAUUCAGCUGGCCAAGUAAAUGGCACAUGCAAUGCACAUGUAAAGCGGUUGGCGGUUACCUUGAUUUUAGGCCAUGAUCUCCCAUGAUCUCCCAUUAUCCCAUGACCUGAUUAUUGUUUGUAUAGUGGCCCCAUUUCGUGAAUAAUGGAUCCUAUGUAGUUGGGUAUGUCAACUACACGUUAGGAGCAUGAUUUAAAGAUAGUCCGAGAAGUGGCAAAAGCUGUUAGAUGACAAGUGCCAUGGGCGGUUAAGUUUAAGGGCUUCCUAUAUUAGAUAAAUAGGGCCUUUAACUUAGGCAGAAGAGCGAAGUAAUUUCGGGUGGAAAUACUAAGUGGGAAACAAGAAAGGAACGUGAGGGUUUCUAGUGUUUCAAAAAGGGGGCUAAGAUCGUGCAUGGGUAGUUCUUAGUGUUGGCCAAGAACGACCAGGUAUUCUUCGUUAAAAGUGGGCUGUGAGCGGACGGAUAGUUCAUAGCAAGUGAGGGUCCUUUGUAUAUUUUCAAUAUUAAUGCGAAGGUUGGGAAUUUGUCCUGUAUAUGUUUGUGUUCUUUAAAUUUCUUUUUUGUUGCCUAAAUUUCGUCUAAGGCAAAACUUGCUGAAAAUUGGCAAGUGUUUCGGAAGGCUGAGUCAAGCAAGGGACUUGACUGCCACGUGGGUUUGGUUUUUGGACUAGGUCAAAAACGCCCCCGUGACAAUUGGUAUCAAAGCUGAGCAGGUUUGUGGCAGUGACGAGACAAUCACUGGAAGAUUACGUGGGAAAUUUUGAGAACAUGGAUGGUGGCACAAAUGCGGAGAUGCGUCAAAGAGUUGAGCAGUUGGAAGCACUAGUUGGGCAGGCUCUUCAAAGUGAUGGUGAUUCUUCUAUUCAUGCUAGAAUGGCACGUUUGGAGGCAGAUUAUGCAGCAAGACACGAGACGACGCUGGCAGAAAUGGCCUUGGUACGCCAAGAGAAAGUUGAAUUAGGCAACGAAGUGGCUGAUCUUCGAAGGGCUUUAUAAAAUUCUGCCCUUAGAAAUGAUGAGGAUUGCUAGAUUGGCACGUUUGGAGGCAGAUUAUGCAGCGAGACACGAGACAACGCUGGCAGAAAUGGCCUUGGUAUGCCAAGAUAAAGAAGAAUUAUGCGACGAAGUGGCUGAUCUUCGAAGGGCAUUACAAAAUUCUUCCCCUAGAAAUGAUGAGCGCACUAUGUUGAGGAUUCCGGAGCCUAAGGCUUAUGGUGGUGCAAGAAGUGCCAAGGAACUGGAAAAUUUCCUGUGGGAUAUGGAGAAGUAUUUCCAGACUGCACGUGUGCCGGAUGAUCAAAAAAGUGGUGAUCAACACCAAUGUACUUGACGGACGAUGAGGUGUGGUAGCGUACAAGAAUUGCAGAUGGGGAAGGUGCUGGACUGCCCAUGCUUGGAAAUUAGGAGAUCAUGAAAAAGAAAUUAAAAUCCCAAUUCCUUCCAACAAACCCGUUGUGGAUGGCACGAGAUGGACUGCGUCACUUGAAAAAAAGUGGCACGGUAAGGGAGUAUGUCAAGGAAUUUUUGUCCUUGAUGCUGAAUGUAAGUAAUAUGGUACAAAAAGACAAGCUGCAUUACUUCAUGACUGGUUUGAAGGGAUGGGCACAAUUGGAGUGAGGAGGCAAAAUGUGCAAAGCCUCUCUACUGCCCUUGCACCAGCAGAUGCAUUGGCGGACCUGAAUAUAGGUGAUGAACCUAUUCAAACUUCACAUUCGAAGUCCGACGGAAGGAAGGACAAAGCAUGGGAAUGGAAGAGAAACGGGAAGGGCCAAGCGUCUCAAAAUGAGGAACUUGUAAUGACUGUGAGACAGGAAAAUCACAAUGGCAAGGAAAGGAACAUCGUGUACAAAUGCUGUUUCACUUGUGGUAGACCGCACUUGAAGAGGGAUUUCAUGUGCAGGCUAGGUAAAUGCAAUGCUAGCUGCGGAGGGACAGGAACAAGUGGCGGAGGAAAAUGCCAUAGUGGCAGAUGCGAGGGGAGCACCCGGGGCGGUGUUUGUCAACAACCCCUUGGGGUUGUUAGAUUGAGACGGCUGGACGAGGAAGUCGAUUUCAAAGGGUGUGGGUGUUUUGUUAGGACCCUGCUUUUUGUCAUCGGGCGUUGCACGGCUGUGGCAAGGAUUUGUGCGUGAUGGCCUUAUCAUUGGCUUAUGUGCGGGAAAAACGAUCAUGCGGGUCGACGGGCUGUAGUGGAAAAGUAUUGGCCAAGGCCUUGGCACGGGAAAGGCGCUCUUGGAAAAGGCUUGAAGAGGCAGCAUCGGCAGUGUUUGGGCGGCAUGGUACGGCAUGCGCGCCAAACUCAGUGGCAUGAUACUCUAGGGUUGUGGCAGCUAUGUGCGGGCUAAGCUAAGGCGAGACGGAUAUGCGGGUUGACGGCAAAGGCUUUCAAUAUCAAAGACUAGGCUAUUGGAAAGAAUACAAGCAAUGGCAUGAGGGAAAUGAGGGUUGGCACGGACAAGGCAGAAAAUUAGGCCAAGGGAGUGUGCAAGUGGCAGUGGCGCCGGGCGUGUGCAGAAAUAUCAUGGCUGCGGAUUGCAGGCAAGACAUUGGCAUGGGCAAUGUCAAGUUGAGCUAAGGCACGGCACAAGGUAGCCUUAGGGGCGAAAUUCAGCUGGCCUAGGAAAUGGCACAUGCAAUGCACAUGGAAUGCGGUUGGCGGUUACUUUGAUUUUAGGCCAUGAUCUCCCAUUAUCCCAUGAUUUGAUUAUUGUUUGUAUUAUUGCCCCAUUUCGUGUAUAAUGGAUCCUAAGUAGUUGGGGAUGUCAACUACAUGUUAGGAGCAUGAUUUAAUCUUAGUCCGACAAGUGGCAAAAGCUGUUAGACGACAAGUGUCAUGGGCGGUUAAGUUUAACGGCUUCCUAUAUUCUAUAAAUAGGGCCUUUAACUUAGGCAGAAGAACGAAGCAAUUUCGGGUGGAAUUACUAAGUGGGAAACAAGAGAGGAACGUGAGGGUUUCUAGUGUUUCCAAAAGGGGCUAAGGUCGUGCAUGGGCAGAUGUUAUUGUUGGCCAAGAACGACCAGGAGUUCUUCGUCAAAAGUAGGCUGUGAGCGGACGGAUAGUUCAUAGCAAGUGAGGGUCCUUUGUAUAUUUCUAUAUUAAUGCAAAGGGUGGGAAUUUGUCCUGUAUAUGUUUGUGUUCUUUAAAUUUCUGUUUUGUUGCCUAAAUUUCGUCUAAGGCAAAACUUGCUGAAAAUUGGCAAGAGUUUCGGAAGGCUGAGUCAAGCAAGGGACUUGACUGCCGCGCGGGUGAAGUUUUUGGACUAGGUCAAAAACGCCCUCGUGACACCUACUGUUAGACCCCUAAUAUUGACUUGACGGAUGUCGGGCAGAAUUCAUGUCAAGGUCUUGUGCAUUGCCCCUUGACAUGGGUUCAUUAAAGUGUUGGCAAGCAAUGUACAAGGCUGGGCGUGUUCCUUUCAAGGUUGUUGAUAGGGCUGUUCAAAAUAAAGGCAUCGCAAACAGGAAAACUGAUGGUUGCAGGACGUGCGGAGGGCCUCAUCUUUCCAAGAACUGUCAGAAUCGAGGGCGGGUAAAUGCUUUGCUUGCUACAGAAAAUAAUCGGGAUGGAGAAGGCGAAGAAGUUGUUGCUGCCUUAGUAAAUCCUUUGUAAUUGUUUAAUGUUAUCUCGUUACUGAAUGUUAUAUGUAACGAGACGAACCCUCAUUCUUUGCUGAUGCACAUCAAAAUGAGAACUGGGGACAGAAGUGUGAUAGCAAUGGUAGAUACUGGCGCUACUCACAUCUUUGUUUUUUCCAGUUGGUGCAUAAGUAUCAAUUGAGAGUGUCGAAAUGUCCCUCUUACAUAAAGACUUUGAAUACCAAAGCACAAGCCAUUGUGGGUAUGGCUUAUGAUGUUCCUAUGUCUGUUUGGAACUGGAAAGGGAAGGUCAAUUUGAUGGUGAUUCCAAUAGAAAAGUUUGAGGUGAUCAUCAGAAUUGUCUUCAUGCGGAAACAUCACUUUGUUGCAAUGCCUCAUGUUGAACGGAGUGAUGAUCAUGAAUGAUAUCGCUCCUGGUUUCAUGAAAGCUGUUUAUCCUUAUGAAAGAGAAGAAAUUCAAAGUAAGGCUUCGUUAAUUUCUGCCAUGAUUGUUGAAAAAGGUUUGAAGAAGGGAGGUGAGACUUUUCUUGCUGCUGGGGUUGAAGUGAAGCCUGAUGUUAAGGUGGAAGUGACGGACUGUGUUGCUCAAAUUUUGAGUGAAUUUGCUGAUGUGAUGCCAUCAGAGUUGCCUAAAAAUCUGCCACCACAGAGGGCUAUUGAUCACAGGAUAGAGUUGAUGUCGGGUUCGAUGCUUCCUGCUCAACCUCAUAAGUCGUUGAACAAGGUAUUGAUAGCUGAAGGUGAUGAGUCUAAAACUACUUGUGUUACGAGAUAUGGCUCACAUUAAUUCCUUGUUAUGUCAUUCGGAUUGAUAUAUGCCCCUGCUACAUUUUGCCACCUCAUCAAUGAUGGGUUGUACGAGUACAUAGAUGUCUUUGUCGUUGUCUACUUAGACGACAUUAUUAUCUAUAGUCGGAAUUUUGAUGAACAUACGUCACACUUGAUAAAAGUGCUAUCUCGAUUGAGGGAGUACAAGUUGUAUUAGAAGUGUGAAUUUUCUUAGACAGGAGAUCAAAUUUCAUGGGCACUUGGUGAGCCAGAAUCAGGUGCGGAUGGACCCGUAAGAGGUGCAGGUCAUUGCAGAGUGGCAGGUGCCGAAAGCUAUGAAUGAAUUGAGAUGUUUCCUCGGGUUGGCUAAUUAUUAUAAAAAAUUCAUUGCUGGUUACUCAAAGAAAGUUGUUCCUUUGACGGAGGUGUUGAAGGAGAACGUUAAAGGAAAUUUGUCGGGAAAAUGCUGGGCUGCAUUUGGUGUGCUGGAUGAAGCCAUUGCCUCAGAAGCAAUCUUGUGGCUUGCUGAGUUUGAGUUACUGUUUGAAGUGCAUACAGAUACAUCCAACAAGGCUGUUGGAGGCGUGCUGGUUCAAGAAGGUCAUCCUGUGGCCUUUGAAAUAAGAAAGUUGAAUGAAGCAGAACAAAGGUAUUCCGCUCAUGAGGAGGAAGUCUUUGGUGUUGGUUAUUUCCUUAUGAGACUUGAGUUAGAUUUUGUUGAUAAAAUCAAGUCAAAUGCUAUGAAUGAUCCAUUGUACAUAAUGAACAUGAAUCAUUCAAAGGAAGGUACUAUGCAACGGUACUGGAUCGAGGGCAACAAGGUAUUACUUGAUAGAACCUUCGUUGCAAGAUAUGGUGGUCCGUUCGACGAUCAAAUCGAGGACUACUUGAGAUUAACCUCGACGAGCGUCGAGUUCAACUAGUGGGGGUGGUUUGUUAGACCCCUAAUAUUGACUUGACGGAUGUCUGGCAGAAUUUUAUGUCAAGGGCUUCUGUAUUACCCCUUGACAUGGGUUCGUUAAAGUGUUGGCAAGCAAUGUACAAGGCUGGGCGUGUGUCUAAGUUGGUGAUGGACUUAGGCAAGGCAGGUGGAGUGUUGGCAAGGCGGCCUUGGUUCGUGGGCAUCGGAAAAUGGCAAACGGAAGCAUCGCACUUGACAAAGGUAUGAAGGGAUCUGAGAGACGACUUAAUUAAUAGCAGGGCGUGGCUAUGAAAUUAAGGGCGAGACAACUUCCAAGGCAAAGCUGGGCUGGAGCAUGCGCGGAUCUGUGGAACGACUUAAUUUAUAGCAGGGCGUGGCUAUGAAAUUAAGGGCGAAGCAAGGUCCAAGGCAAAGCCGGGGGGGAGCAUGCGCGAACCGGUGGGACAACCUAAUUCAUAGCAGGGCGUGGCUAUGAAAUUAAGGGUGAGGCAAGGUCCAAAGCAAAGCUGGGCUGGAGACAAAGAAAAUGUGGGCAAGUCUAGAGGCCCUCGUGCAUGGCAUGUGACGAAGUGGUGUGCAAGACAUGUGCUUGGAAGUUGAAUACAUAAUCUAAGAACAUGAGCGGUUGGCUACAAAGUGGAAAACGUGGUAGCAACUGCCGUAACCGCCUAAGGCAUGUACAUGGAACAUGGUAGAACUGCCCCUUUGUAACUGCCAUUAGCAGCCCCUUUAUAUAGAUUGUAUCUCCGUCUAUGGUGAAGGCAAGUAGCAUUACAUAUGUGAGCCAAGUCUAAAAUGAGAUUCCUUUGUAUAUUCUACGAGAAUUAACAAAGGUUGGGUUUUACCCGUAAAUUCUAUGUGUGUUCUUAGUUUGGCUAAAGUCUGAAAUUUCUAAGUCAGGCUUUGUGUGUGCGAAAAGCUAAGGCUGAGUGGCUGUGAGUGCCGCUGCCAUUCAGUGUCUAUGUUUGCAAAAAAUUGACCCUGUAACACCUUCUAUGGUGGUGACGGAUGAUAGAGAAUUAGGGUUCGUUUCCGGAGAGGGAGCUUGAGAAACGGCUACCACAUACAAUGAAGGCAGCAGGCAUGAAAAUUACCCAAUCCUGAUACGGGGAGGUAGUGACAAUAAAUAACAAUACCGGGGCUUUAUGAGUCUUGCAAUUGGAAUGAGUAAAAUUUAAAUCCCUUAAUGAGGAUCCAUUGGAGGGCAAGUCUGGUGCCAGUAGCCGCGGUAAUUCCAGCUCCAAUAGCGUAUAUUUUAGUUGUUGUAGUUAAAAGCUCGUAAUUGGACUUUGGGAUGGGCUGGCCGGUCCGCUUUAGGUGUGCACCGGUCGUCUCAUCCCUUCUGCCGGCGAUGCGCUCCUGCCCUUAGUUGGCCGGGUCGUGCCUGCGGUGCUGUUAUUUCGACGAAAUUAGAGUGCUCAAAGCAAGCCUACGCUCUGUAUACAUUUGCAUGGGAUAACAUUAUAGGAUUUCGGUCCUAUUAUGUUGGCCUUCGGGGUCAGAGUAAUGAUUAAUAGGGACAGUCAGGGGCAUUCUUAUUUCAUAGUCAGAGGUGAAAUUCUUGGAUUUAUGAAAGACGAACAACUGCGGAAGCAUUUUCCAAGGAUGUUUUCAUUAAUCAAGAACGAAAGUUGGGGGCUCGAAGACGAUCAGAUACCAUCCUAGUCUCAACCAUAAAUGAUGCCGACCAGGGAUCGGCGGAUGUUGCUUUUAAGACUCCGCCGGCACCUUAUGAGAAAUCAAAGUUUUUGGGUUUCAAGGGGAGUAUGGUCGCAAGGUUGAAAUUUAAAGUAAUUGACAGAAGGGCACCACUAGGAGUGUAGCUUGCGGCUUAAUUUGACUCAACACGGGGAAACUUACAAGGUCCAGACAUAGUAAGGAUAGACAUACUGAGAGCUCUUUCUUGAUUCUAUGGGUGGUGGUGCAUGGCCGUUCUUAGUUAAUGGAGCGAUUUGACUGGUUAAUUCCGUUAACGAACAAGAC